rnacentral:tRNA from 1 species
GGUGGGGUUCCCGAGCGGCCAAAGGGAGCAGACUGUAAAUCUGCCGGCGUUAGCCUUCGGAGGUUCGAUUCCUCCCCCCACCACCA